UUUGUGGUUCUAUUUUGUUGGUUUCUAGGACCACCGUAAUGAUUAAUAGGGAUAGUUGGGGGCAUUAGUAUUCAAUUGUCAGAGGUGAAAUUCUUGGAUUUAUUGAAGACUAACUACUGCGAAAGCAUUUGCCAAGGAUGUUUUCAUUAAUCAAGAACGAAAGUUAGGGGAUCGAAGACGAUUAGAUACCGUCGUAGUCUUAACCAUAAACUAUGCCGACUAGGGAUCGGGCGCAGUUUCAAAUGACUCGCUCGGCACCUUAAGAGAAAUCAAAGUUUUUGGGUUCUGGGGGGAGUAUGGUCGCAAGGCUGAAACUUAAAGGAAUUGACGGAAGGGCACCACCAGGAGUGGAGCCUGCGGCUUAAUUUGACUCAACACGGGGAAACUCACCAGGUCCAGACACAGUAAGGAUUGACAGAUUGAGAGCUCUUUCUUGAUUCUGUGAUUGGUGGUGCAUGGCCGUUCUUAGUUGGUGGAGUGAUUUGUCUGCCUAAUCGCGAUAACGAACGAGACCCUUACCUGCUAAAUAGUCAACUCGGCCCCGGCCGAGACCUUUUGGUUAUGACUUCUUAGAGGGACUGGAGGCUCCAAGCCUCAGGAAGCUGGGGGCAAUAACAGGUCUGUGAUGCCCUUAGAUGUUCUGGGCCGCACGCGCGCUACACUGAUAAAGUCAGCGAGUUUUAUUCUUUGAAUAGUCCUUGGCCGGAAGGCCUGGGCAAUCUUGUUAAACUUUUAUCGUGCUGGGGAUAGAGCAUUGCAAU
rnacentral:rRNA from 1 species